CCCAUGUCCAGGAUCCGUCUGUGUGUGGUGGCUCUUGAUGCACUGAUUCCAGCCUCAGUCCACUCCUUGUGAAAGUCCCCAACACUUUUGAAUGGCCUUUUCCUGACAAUCCUCUCCAGGCUGCGGUCUUCCAUACUGCUUGUGCAGCUUUUUCUUCCACACUUUUCCCUUCCACAUAACUUUCUAUUAUUGUGCUUUGAUACAGCACUUUGGGAACAUCCAACUUCCUUC